AGUGAACGCUGGCGGUAGGCCUAACACAUGCAAGUCGAACGGCAGCACAGUAAGAGCUUGCUCUUACGGGUGGAGAGUGGCGGACGGGUGAGGAAUACAUCGGAAUCUACUUUUUCGUGGGGGAUAACGUAGGGAAACUUACGCUAAUACCGCAUACGACCUACGGGUGAAAGCAGGGGAUCUUCGGACCUUGCGCGAUUGAAUGAGCCGAUGUCGGAUUAGCUAGUUGGCGGGGUAAAGGCCCACCACGGCGACGAUCCGUAGCUGGUCUGAGAGGAUGAUCAGCCACACUGUAACUGAGACACGGCACAGACUCUUACAGUAGGCAGCAGUGGGGAAUAUUGGACAAUGGGCGCAAGCCUGAUCCAGCCAUACCGCGGGGGGGAAGAAGGACUUCGGGUUGGAAAGCCCUGUUGUUGGGAAAGAAAAGCAGCAGGUUAAUACCCCGCUGUUCUGACGGUACCCAAAGAAUAAGCACCGGCUAACUUCGUG
rnacentral:rRNA from 1 species